ACACGGAACCCAGGUGACACAGAACCCAGGUGACAUGGAACCCAGGUGACACGGAACCCACGUCACAGUGCCUAUACGACACGGAACCAAGGUGACACGGAACCCAGAUGUCACAGUGCCUAUACGACACGGAACCGAGGUGCCACGAGCCCCCGUGCCGCACUGCUGGUGUCCGGAGGUGUCCGGAGGUGUCCGGAGGUGUCCGGAGGUGCCAGGAGGCGACACGAGCGGACAGCCCACGUUAUCAGUGCCCUCACAGCCACCCCCUCCCCCCCCCCGACACCCACAGCGUGGGCUGAGCGCGUGCCGUGCCCCCCC
rnacentral:lncRNA from 1 species